GCAAUGUGAGAAAUCGCGACGGGGGGAUCCCAAGUGCCAUUCUUAACGGGAUGGCUUUUCAUUAGUGUAAAGAGCUUUUGGAAUAAGGGCUGGGCAAGACCGGUGCCAGCCGCCGCGGUAACAUCGGCAGCUCUAGUGGUAGCAGUUUUUAUUGGGCCUAAAGCGUCCGUAGCCGGUUUAAUAAGUCUCUGGUGAAAUCCUGUAGCUUAACUGUGGGAAUUGCUGGAGAUACUAUUAGACUUGAGACCGGGAGAGGUUAGAGGUACUCCCAGGGUAGAGGUGAAAUUCUGUAAUCCUGGGAGGACCGCCUGUUGCGAAGGCGUCUAACUGGAACGGUUCUGACGGUGAGGGACGAAAGUUAGGGGCGCGAACCGGAUUAGAUACCCGGGUAGUCCUAACCGUAAACGAUGCGGACUUGGUGUUGGGGUGGCUUUGAGCUGCUCCAGUGCCGAAGGGAAGCUGUUAAGUCCGCCGCCUGGGAAGUACGGUCGCAAGACUGAAACUUAA
rnacentral:rRNA from 1 species